UUUCAGGCCCAUUCUUCACACCAAACAGAGAGAUAUUCAAUUGCCAUUUCUCUCUCUCCAGUUCACCACAUAACUUCCUGCCUCUGUUCUUCCAUUUCUCCAACCGCUUAAAAGUCUUUUAAUUCAUGCUCUCUCCGAAAUUUCUCUAAUCUGCAUCUCUCUUCCUGGAUCACUGGAAUUUAGCUGCAGUAAGAUUUUUCUUCUUUUUCCAAAAUUCUAUUUCACUCUUUGCUUUUGGAGCAACGACAGUCCUCGUCUCCUCAACCAUUUUCCAUUACCUUCUUCAAUCAUAAAAUCCUCAUUUUGAGAAGAAAAGGGAUUUUUUUUUUUAAGUAAUCUGUUUUCCCCCUG
rnacentral:lncRNA from 1 species